ACUGCUCAGUAACACGUGGACAACCUGCCCUUAGGUCGGGGAUAAACCCGGGAAACUGGGUAUAAUACCCGAUAGGUCUCGAUUGCUGGAAUGCAUCGAGAUUUAAAGCUCCGGCGCCUAAGGAUGGGUCUGCGGCCUAUCAGGUAGUAGUGGGUGUAGCGUACCUACUAGCCUACGACGGGUACGGGUUGUGAGAGCAAGAGCCCGGAGAUGGAUUCUGAGACACGAAUCCAGGCCCUACGGGGUGCAGCAGGCGCGAAAACUUUACAAUGCUGGCAACAGCGAUAAGGGAACCUCGAGUGCCAGGUUACAAAUCUGGCUGUCGAGAUGCCUAAAAAGCAUUUCAUAGCAAGGGCCGGGCAAGACCGGUGCCAGCAGCCGCGGUAAUACGAU
rnacentral:rRNA from 1 species